CUUCUCUCCCACUUCAGUGAAUCUCAAAUGGCAGAGCUGCUGGGCUUCCCAGAAGACAAAGAAGAGAACGAGGGGCCCAGAGCAUCGUUUCUCAAACUGCUGUUUGGGGCAGGCUGUGCUGUGAAAAUACUGUAAUGUUCCCAGCCCACAUUAAAUCUGGAAAGCUCUGGAUGACACAGGCCACAUGGGUUUCUUUAUUCCGGGACUUCUCAGAGCCUUUAUGACUAACGUGUAGUCAGAAUCUUAGAAAAGGGGCUUAGUAGGCAGCAUUUCCCAAACAAAUUGGAUCGCAGGAAAUACCUAACAGCCAGGUGCAGUGGCUCACACCUGUAAUCCCAGCAUUUUGGGAGGCCCAGGCGGGUGGAUCAUGAGGUCAGGAGUUUGAGACCAGCCUGACCAACAUGAUAAAACCCUGUCUCUACUAAAAAUACAGAGACAGAGAUGGAGGCAAAGCCCAUGAAGCCCGGUUACUGCUGCGGGCAACUACUGCUCCGGCUGUUUUUUUGAGACAGUCGUGCUCUGUCGCCCCGGCUUGAGUGCAGUGGCGUGGGCUCACUGCAACCUCCACCUCUCGGGCUGUUGAUAGAAAUGGACCUAUAUACAAUGAAGUGUAAGAUGGGGCAGACCGUGGUAUGUGCAUUAAUACAGAUGCCCACAGAGCACUGUGGGAGCACAUAGAGGGAACAAUCCAGGAAGGCUUCAUGAAGGCUGCACUUGAGCUGCGCUUCAAAGGAUCUACAGGAUUUCAAUAGGAAGGAAGAGAGAAGGAGGGAAACAUUGCAAACCAAGGAAAUAACCUAAGUAAAGACUUGAGGACAUAAAAGUUGGGAGGAUGACGAAGGCUAUAAAAUAUUUUACAUAGCAGGGCAGGGUCUAAAUUAUAUCCAGUGUAGAUGCUGAGUUGCCAAGUCCUGGGAGGCAUCGUGAGUGUUGUGGAAGUUUAGGAGGCAUUAGGAGAACAGUGAGAAACAGUGGAAGGUCUGAGAAGACUCAGCAGCCAGGUCCUGGGUCCCUGUUGAGCCUGAGGACUCCCUUGCCUACAGAAGGAUCCCCGGCUGGGAGCCUUUGACCUAUUGCAGAUCUAUACAGGGCUUGAUUUGGUUCUCUUCCUGGCUCCACAGGGGAUUCUGUCAUCCAGAAUGCAUCCAACAGCGGAGUGGGGCAAGCAGUCAUCCAGAUCGCCGCAGCCCUGGGCCUAAGAACCAUCAAUGUGGUCCGAGACAGGUGCGUGGGGAAGGAGGCUUCAUCCCAGACCAUGUCUUGGGUCUUUCCCACCUCCCAUCCCUGCGGUGCCCAGUUGUCCACCAGAGGGCGCCCUUGCAUAAGCAUAAACUGGCUUUAGGCAUCGCUAACAGUUGGCGGCUGAAACAGAUGAGUCAGUCCUAAGAAAUGAAGUCCAGCUGGCUUUUGGCGAUAGGAUGAGUGAAUCUGACAUGUAAAGAGAGGGCAGGAAGGAGGUGGAGACUGCCCUUACUGAAUAGCUAAGACUUUCUGAGACUCUUGGCUUGUGAUAACCUCAUGUUUUCAAAACCCCAGUUGAUAUUUGGGAAUGAUUUGAGCUGUAUUAUUCUUUCUGUGAACUGUCUAACCCAAGGCCCCUUUACCCUUGCUUUUGUGUGGUACUUGGAAGUGCGCUAAAUACAGACGUGAAGGAGACAGGGGCAGGUUUGUCAUCUGUCUUUUACAGAUGAGGAAACUGAAGUUUCAGGGAGCAGCUUGCCCUGGAAGACACAGCAAGUCAGUAAUAGACUCGGUUUCCUCACUUACUCUCUUUCCAUCAUAUCGUCCAGUUUCUCUAGGCCUCACUGUCCAUGAAUGUGGCUGUGGCUGUCAUGGAAGCCCACUCUUAGUAUAAUCGACACCAGCUUCAGUUCCUCAGUUGUACUCGCAAAAAUAAUUCCAUUUGCCUUAACCAAAGAGACCCAGAGCCACUCCUGGUCUAGACUGUGUAUGUCCAACACUCUGAAGAACCACUUGAAAAGAGGGGGGAAGUGGAGUUUGUCCUUUCAGUAGAAGAAAUCAGGAAGUUAAGUGACUUCUCCCUGGGCACAGAUGGCUUCUAACACUAUUGAGCUGUCAGGGCCUGUGAAAACCACCCAGUCUCACUCUGUUGCCAGUGAGGAGACAGCCAAGAGCUAUUGAAGCUGC
rnacentral:lncRNA from 10 species